UGAGUAACCUGCCCCAGACUCUGGGAUAAGCACUGGAAACGGUGUCUAAUACCGGAUAUGAGCUUCAGCCGCAUGGCUAGGAGUUGGAAAGAAUUUUCGGUUUGGGAUGGACUCGCGGCCUAUCAGCUUGUUGGUGAGGUAAUGGCUCACCAAGGCGACGACGGGUAGCCGGCCUGGAGGAGGGUGACCGGCCACACGUGGGACUGAGACACGGCCCAGACCUCCGUACGGGGAGNAGG
rnacentral:rRNA from 1 species